CUGAGACGAUGCUCUGCGUGGUGCUGAGGAUCCAACCCACAGCUUUGUGCAUGCUAGGCAAGCACUUGAGCAUCUCAGCUGCACAGCCAGCCCAUGAAGCCCUUGUUUUCAGAAGAGGGGAAGUGUUAAUGCUGAGAAACAAGCUGCUGCUGACUGUUGUUGGGAGUUGGACUACAGACUAGAACUAAGUGAGGAAAGAUGGGGCCAAAGAAGCACAGGAAGAAGACAAAUCAGCAAGGAGAGGCUGUGGCUGACAGUCAGUGCAUUCAGAGAAACCUGUGGGAGGGAGAUACAGGGGACACGGAGCAUCACCAUGACUGCAGUGUCUAUAAAGGCACAAGAUGUCUCCAUAAAAUGCCACUCAAUGGAGCCCAGAGGUGGGACACUCAGCUGGCACGUGCAACACUCUGAGUUUGAUCCCCAGCACCAUAGACCCCAACAAAUUGACACGUGAGCAGAAACCAGAAGGAAGCCAGCCAGGUGAUUGCCAGAAGAAAAGAGCAUUCCCGCCUGAGGAGACAGAGUAGCAGUAUGGCUGGCAUGUUUAGAGAGGAUCCAGGAGACCAGGUGCUGGGAUCAGGGGACAGGCUGGGAUCACGAAACUCUCCCUUGCACUUGAGAGGUCAGAGGGUGCAGGGCUGCCUGGCCCACUGUAAGGGCCUCAGCUUCUGCUCUGAGAUAGAAACCAUGAGAGGGUUUGAGCAGAGCAGUAACUGGAUAUCUCAGAGGGCUUAGCAUAGCCCUCUAGCCUCCCUGUUGAGAACAGUUUGCACUGGGGCAGGACAAAAGGGGGCGCAGCUGGGAGACCAUUGGGGUGUCCUAGGUAAAGGACAAUAGCAGUCUGGACCCAAUGGGAGUGUGAGCAGUAAUCUCUUUCAGGUUUAUGCUGAAGACUAAGAGAAAAUGGAAUCAAAGAGGACCCAGAUCUUUUGGCCCAGCAACUGAAAGUGUAAAAGUCCCCUGGGCUUAGAAUAACAGGAACUUGGGAGGAACCGGCUUGAGGGUUUGGAUUACAAACAUAGUCACUCCUAAGUGAAGACAUCAGAAUGGUUAUGUAAAUCAAGAUUG
rnacentral:lncRNA from 1 species